rnacentral:ncRNA from 2 species
UGUGGGAGCUGGCUUGCCUGCGAUAGCGGUUUAUCAGUUACAGCAUCAUUGACUGAAACUGCGCCAUCGCAGGCAAGCCAGCUCCCACA